CUUUCUAUGGACAACGAUCAUUGACAUGAGAUAUAUGCAUCACAUAGACAUUAAUUUGUGUCUGUCACAUUUUUUUUUAAUCUUUUUGCAGCUUUGAGAAAGGUGGAAUUCCUGCUAAGUUUGUAAUAAUUGAUGAUGGAUGGCAAUCUGUUGGCAUGGACCCUAAUGGUAUUGAAUGGAAAUCUGAUACUUCAGCCAACUUUGCAAAUCGCUUAACAAACAUCAAAGAGAAUCACAAGUUCCAGAAAGAUGGCAAGGAAGGUCAGCGGGUAGAGGACCCAGCUCUGGGAAUAAGGCAUAUUACUAAUGAAAUCAAACUAGAGCAUGAUAUAAAGUACGUAUAUGUGUGGCAUGCAAUAACAGGAUAAUG